CACGUAGGGGGCGAGCGUUGUCCGGAAUUACUGGGCGUAAAGGGCGCGUAGGCGGCCUAAUAAGUCAGAUGUGAAACCCCCGGGCUUAACCCUGGGCUUGCAUUUGAAACUGUUGGGCUUGAGGACAGGAGAGGAAAGCGGAAUUCCCAGUGUAGCGGUGAAAUGCGUAGAUAUUGGGAGGAACACCAGUGGCGAAGGCGGCUUUCUGGACUGUAACUGACGCUGAGGCGCGAAAGCCAGGGUAGCGAACGGGAUUAGAUACCCCGGUAGUCCUGGCCGUAAACGAUGGAUACUAGGUGUGGGAGGUAUCGACCCCUUCCGUGCCGUAGCCAACGCACUAAGUAUCCCGCCUGGGGAGUACGGCCGCAAGGCUGAA
rnacentral:rRNA from 1 species